CCAAUGGUAUCAUGCAGUGAAUGAAGUUGGGACAGCUGGUCUUUAUUAAUUUGUAUUCAUAUUCUAGGCGUCCUUGAUGGGCCUAUAAUUUGCAAGUUUUCAGAAUAUGCUAAAUUCUGUGCAAGUGUCUGAAUUGUCAACACUGCUUGAAAACAACAGGCUAAUCAUGAUGAAUCGGAGAAUUGGGGCAACAUCUUAAAGAAAGGAGAGAGAAGAAAGGCGGGAGACAUGACAGGAAGAGAGAAAGCUAGGAUUAAUGAGAACGGGACAGAAGAAAAAGAAAUGCUGGCACAAACAGAAAGAGGAGAGGAAAGCAAAAGGAACAAAAGAGGUGAAAAGAAAAAAAAUGGACCGACUGAAAUAGCAUCUCACCAACUUUCUCAGCAAUGCACCAAAGCACUUCAUAUUAGUUUUUAUUUUGAAUUGCGAUCAUUGAUGAUUUGUGAGCAAAUGUGGUAAACAUUUUGCUCAUAAG